UUUUGGUGGCUUCUUUCAUCGUUUAUAUACAACAGUAUUGAAAUGCACAGGGGUUAGUUUUUUUAAAAUAAAAUUCGUGCUUCUGUGUCUAUUAUUUUUGUUAAGUUGAGAAUACAGCUCUUGCUGUAAUACAGUUCUAGUAAGAGGAUGUGGGGUGUUAUUUUAAAAGAGUUUAGAUUUUAAGAACCAAAAAUAGUUACGAAUGCAGUUUAGUUAUGCAGAAAGUUUCUAGGUAUUUAUGUAUCUCUAACAUGGCCAUUCUAAAAUUAAUUUUAUAUAUAUAAAUAAACGAGUAAUUCUGUAUUUAUAGAUAUGUGCAUGUAAGUUUCAUUACGUUUAUAUAUAGUGUGUAUAUAUAACCAUGCAUAUAAAGGUGUUGAUAUAGGGAUCUAUGCAAUGUAUAUCAGUAGGAUUGUGUGAAUGUAAAAAAAAAAAAGCUGAAGUUUCUCGUUUAUCUAUCCCCCUCCCCCAUCUGUGUAAAGACAUUUUAAAAGGAUUCUCCUAAUAUUCCCCCUUAAUUUUAAAAAUAAAUUAAAUUGCUGGUCUAAAAACCUAGCAGAAAAAUUGCAUUUCCAGCGGUUACAGAAGAGCCCUCGCAUAGCGCCAUCUGCUGCUCGCUCUGCUGCAUGGCAAGUAAUGUCCGCGGUCCAACCGGGCUGUAGGUCGCUGCCGUUUGGAAGGCGAGAUGCGUAAUCCGCGGGGCUGUGGGCCACGCUGGAGGCAGCGGCCACACCGGUUGGUUUUCUAGGUUCAGAUUAACUUUGUGCCGCAGGGUCUCCGAUCAUCAAGACACAGCGGACCGCAGCCCGACUUGCGUAGGCCAACUCCCAACCCUACGGGAGCUUGCUCCGAGCUGGCCCCAGACACGUGCGUGGAGGAAGAGACAGACACGCGAAGGCACGGGGGGCAGAGGCAUCCCCCAAAGCCUUUGCGACCGCAGGGC
rnacentral:lncRNA from 1 species